rnacentral:lncRNA from 1 species
UUGCGGCGUUGGGAGCCAAAGCUGCUGAAGGUUAGGGUUUUUAGAUUUUAGUUUUUAGGGCUUAGGUGUUUAUUUUCUCUGUUUUGGGCUGUGAGUAUUUGGGCUUGGUUUUUGGGUUUAGGCUAGUUGGGUUUGGGUUAAAGCUGCUUAGGCUAAUUGGGUUUAGGUUAAAGUUGUUUUUUUUUUGGAUAGUGGAUUUGAAGCCAUUAGGCCUGCUAUAAUGGACUGUGGACAUUUUAAGAUUUUGGGUUUAUUUUAUUUGGUUUAUUUUUGUUUAUUUAUUUCUAAUUUGGGCCAGGCAAAUUUGGGUUAUUACAGCUGCCCCUCUUUGCUCAUUGUCGUGUAACAGAAAUGAAGCAAAGACUAAAAAAUGGUCAAAAUUA